CAAUUUAGAAUGUUUGUUGUUGAAUAUGAAUUCAGUACCGACGAACUAGCAGGCUUGUUAGGAAUCCCUCAUGGGGACGGUGCUAUUUGUGAGGCCCCUUUGGAUUCAGAUUGGUCAGUCGAGGUGUUCUCCUUUUGGCAGAGAUUGUCAAACACUUCCAUAAAUUCUUUUGAAGGAAUUCUUGCCUCGACUAUCCAUAACCCCGCCAUCAGAGUUUUUAGAUAUCUGUUGGCAUGUACUAUUUUUG
rnacentral:lncRNA from 1 species